UACGAAGGGGGCUAGCGUUGUUCGGAAUUACUGGGCGUAAAGCGCGUGUAGGCGGGUCUUUAAGUCAGGGGUGAAAUGCCAAGGCUCAACCUUGGAACUGCCUUUGAUACUGGAGAGCUAGAGUCCGGAAGAGGUGAGUGGAACUGCGAGUGUAGAGGUGAAAUUCGUAGAUAUUCGCAAGAACACCAGUGGCGAAGGCGGCUCACUGGCUCGUAACUGACGCUCAUGCACGACAGCGUGGGGAUCAAACAGG
rnacentral:rRNA from 1 species